rnacentral:rRNA from 1 species
UACGGAGGGUGCAAGCGUUGUCCGGAUUUAUUGGGUUUAAAGGGUGCGUAGGCGGCUUUUUAAGUCAGUGGUGAAAGACAACAGCUCAACUGUUGCAGUGCCCUUGAUACUGAAGAGCUUGAGUACAGAUGAGGUAGGCGGAAUUUAUGGUGUAGCGGUGAAAUGCAUAGAUACCAUAAAGAACACCUAUUGCGAAGGCAGCUUACUAAGCUGUAACUGACGCUGAGGCACGAAAGUGUGGGGAUCAAACAGG